rnacentral:ncRNA from 2 species
GUGAUAGAUGUCCGCGACGGUGCCGUGAACGCGGCGAAGAGGGAAUAGGGUGAAAAUCCCGGACUGCCCCCGCAACUGUAAGCGACGAGCCUGCCGUAAUGCCACUGACCGGACGAUCGGUUGGGAAGGCCCGGCACAGGCGAUGACCCGCGAGUCAGGAAACCUGCCGUCACCAAGCUGACGCC